UGAUGUUCUUCAUGACGGCGUUGUGGAUUCGGCGCGAUUGACGGCGGUUCGUGGAUUCGGAUCGUGAGCUUCGUGGAUUCGGAGUGGAGGCGUUUCGUGGAUUCGGAGCGAGGCGUUUCGUGGAUUCGGAGCGAGGCGUUCGUGGAUUCGAACGUGAGGGCGUGGACAACCCGGAGGAUUGCGCAAGAUUCGUAAGAGGUUAAGAGAGGUCGAGUCCGUGGAGUCGGUAAUCACCUUGUAAUCUUUUCUCUUAGUGAAUUAUUUUUUCGCGUGUUGGUCCCGUGGGUUUUUCUCCAAGUUUGGAGUUUUUCCACGUAAAUCUUGGUGUGAUUUUUAUUUUCCGUACUUACUUUUAUCGCAUUGAGAUUUGUGAU
rnacentral:lncRNA from 1 species